rnacentral:rRNA from 1 species
GAGAGAGGUAGCUUGCUACUGAUCUUAGCGGCGGACGGGUGAGUAAUGCUUAGGAAUCUGCCUAUUAGUGGGGGACAACAUUUCGAAAGGAAUGCUAAUACCGCAUACGUCCUACGGGAGAAAGCAGGGGAUCUUCGGACCUUGCGCUAAUAGAUGAGCCUAAGUCGGAUUAGCUAGUUGGUGGGGUAAAGGCCUACCAAGGCGACGAUCUGUAGCGGGUCUGAGAGGAUGAUCCGCCACACUGGGACUGAGACACGGCCCAGACUCCUACGGGAGGCAGCAGUGGGGAAUAUUGGACAAUGGGCGCAAGCCUGAUCCAGCCAUGCCGCGUGUGUGAAGAAGGCCUUAUGGUUGUAAAGCACUUUAAGCGAGGAGGAGGCUACUUUAGUUAAUACCUAGAGAUAGUGGACGUUACUCGCAGAAUAAGCACCGGCUAACUCUGUGCCAGCAGCCGCGGUAAUACAGAGGGUGCAAGCGUUAAUCGGAUUUACUGGGCGUAAAGCGCGCGUAGGCGGCUAAUUAAGUCAAAUGUGAAAUCCCCGAGCUUAACUUGGGAAUUGCAUUCGAUACUGGUUAGCUAGAGUGUGGGAGAGGAUGGUAGAAUUCCAGGUGUAGCGGUGAAAUGCGUAGAGAUCUGGAGGAAUACCGAUGGCGAAGGCAGCCAUCUGGCCUAACACUGACGCUGAGGUGCGAAAGCAUGGGGAGCAAACAGGAUUAGAUACCCUGGUAGUCCAUGCCGUAAACGAUGUCUACUAGCCGUUGGGGCCUUUGAGGCUUUAGUGGCGCAGCUAACGCGAUAA